ACUCCUACGGGAGGCAGCAGUAGGGAAUCUUCCACAAUGGGCGAAAGCCUGAUGGAGCAACGCCGCGUGGGUGAAGAAGGUCUUCGGAUCGUAAAACCCUGUUGUUAGAGAAGAAAGUGCGUGAGAGUAACUGUUCACGUUUCGACGGUAUCUAACCAGAAAGCCACGGCUAACUACGUGCCAGCAGCCGCGGUAAUACGUAGGUGGCAAGCGUUAUCCGGAUUUAUUGGGCGUAAAGGGAACGCAGGCGGUCUUUUAAGUCUGAUGUGAAAGCCUUCGGCUUAACCGGAGUAGUGCAUUGGAAACUGGGAGACUUGAGUGCAGAAGAGGAGAGUGGAACUCCAUGUGUAGCGGUGGAAUGCGUAGAUAUAUGGAAGAACACCAGUGGCGAAGGCGGCUACCUGGUCUGCAACUGACGCUGAGACUCGAAAGCAUGGGUAGCGAACAGGAUUAGAUACCCUGGUAGGAUAGCG
rnacentral:rRNA from 1 species